GCGUAUCUCUCUUUUUGCAUACUAAAUAAAUCAAUAAAAGAUAUCUAGUUUCUGACGCCGAGGUAUUACGAAACCCCGGCACUAAAAGUGAAAUUUUAAACGCAACAACCCGAAAGCCCCCGUAGCAAAACCGAAAAAUAUUUAUCUCCGUGUGUUGGCAAAAAAAAAAUGGAAAGAAAAUGAAAUGUGACUGGUGACCGUAUCAGAGAAAUCAAAUGAUUCCACAGUCGAAAAUAUCAGUAAAUUAAACCGAAAUAAACCCACUUAGACAUCGCAGCUCAUUCAUUUGGAUUAAUCAAUUUUCAUUUUCGAACAACCAACCAACAGGCAUGCUGCAUAGCGAUUUCAACAUUCUAACUGAGACCCGUUUUAAAUGAGAUUUAACUAGAUAAAUGAAUGAAGGCUUUGAACCUGCAACGCAUGGCAUCAGCAAAACGGACGGAAGCUGCAUCAGCCACCACAGUCAGAGCAACGGGAACGGAAUCGGAAUCGGAAGCGUCAACGGAAGCGGAAUCGUCGGGCACCACCUCAGUGGAGUCCUGGCCAGCGGGGCCAUGGAAUGCCUGCCGAUGAGCAGUGCCGCCCAUCACCCACAUCUGAUGGCGGGUGCGGCGGCGGUUGGAGCCGUUUCCGCCUCUCCCACGGCGACCGUGGUGGUGGGGGCCACGUAUCCGCACCACCUGCACCACCACCACCUGAGCCACCACACGCCGUACAGCAACAGCUACGGGAGCCACCACAUACACAGCGAGCAGACCAAGUCGCUGCAGGAGCUGCAGCACGAGGUUGGCGCACUGCUGGAGUUUAGGGACCUGGUCAUAGAAACGUUUCCCGACCUCAAGCACAAGAUGGCCUCCAUGUCCGCCACGCCUUCGACGCCCACAUCUUCGGUGGGAGCCAUCGGUGGCAGUCACUCGGUGGGUGGCGGCAGCUCCUCGCUGGCCACCAGCAGACGUGAAUGGGAGCCGGGCAUACGAAUGAAGCGAAAACUGUCGCACAAAGAACCGUCCACGUCGUCAGCGGCAGCUGCUCCUUCCUCAGGAGCUGAGGCGUCGUCCUCGUCGCUGACGCGCAGCCGUAGCAACUCGCACAGCGGCAAGAAAGAGCCAAAGAGCGGAGAGAACAACAACGGAAGCGUUGUGCAAGACUCCGGCUUCUCAACGGAGACCAGUUCCUCCAAGGAGGGCCACAGUGCCUCCUCCACCAACGGUGCUAUGACGGUGGCCAUAGCAGCGAAUCGCCUGAGCUGCGCGGAAUCGGACGAUGAGCUGCUCAACCUGCUGGACGUCAUUCACCGCAAGUCCAAUCGAUUACGCGAGGAAGUGGAGCACUUGCAGAGCUACGAGCGCCAGCAGGGGGAUGCUCAAAAGGCGGGAGGUGAAGGCCAGGGUGCUAGCAAGGAGGGAAUGACAGCGCAGCAGUUCCGAGAGCAGGUGGAGCGACUAAAUCGCGAGGACAUCAAGCAGCUGCGCAAGGAGCGCGACCGUCUGCUGGACAAGUUGGCCGAAAUGGAGGCGGAAACGCUGACCGGGCGCAUUAAGGCGGCCAAGAUGAGCGACCAGGUGGAGGAGUUGGUAGAAGUGAAGAAAGAUCUCGAGGAGCAGCUAAAACUGGCGAUGGCCCAGAAGCUAGAGUUGAGCUCGCGAGUGCAGCAAUUGCAGCAGCAGCAGCAAAGCAAAAGCUCUUCUAGCGCCAGUCAGUCGGAUUACUCCAGUCAACGCAACUUUCUAUCCUCAGCCACCACUGUGCUCUCCAAUGGCAGCCGCCCUAGCAGCAACAUUAUCAGCAACAACACAUUCCAGCCGGUCGUACUCGAUCAGCCAGCGCAGGAAGCAUUCCAUCAAAGCCCAGGCGGUGAUAUUCCAUUGAGAAAACAGCAACAGCAACAGCAAUCUUUGGGACAUCUUGAUGGCAUUGUGAGCACGCCCGGAACGCGCAACUCCAAAUGCCGUCUGACCGACUCCAAGCGAUUCGCGGCCAUUCUGUUGGAAUCGAAUGUCUUGGAGCUGCAGCGGCACUUGCUCACCCUCACCGUGCAGAACCAGGUGCUGGCCCAGAAGCUGGAAUCGUCCAGCAAGUCCAAGACGCUGCUGGCCAAGCGGCUGGACAAAAACAGCGAAGAGAUUGAGGAUCUGCGUUACCAGCUGACGGAGAAGAGCAUCGAGCUUGAGGGCACCAAGGCUCAAUUGCGGCUGGUGGAGUCCCGCCUGCAGGCGAGCAACAGCACCACCAACUCGUAUCUGCAUUCCUCGCAGCAUGACUACGAGACCAAUCGCUCCUCGGCUUCCACCACGUUAAUGCUGAGUCGUCGUGGAGUUUCCGAUUCGGUGGACUCGACAUCGUCGGCCAUGCCUGCCCCGCCAGUCACACAGAUCAGUACGCCCAGCAUGAAGGCCAUGGUGCCGCUGGCCAUGGAUGAGCUGCAGCAGCACAGUAGCAGCACGGAGUCGGCGCACGAACACGAGAAUCAAGCGCUUCAAACAGCCAACAGCCCCAUCUCCCCCCUCAGUAAGACGAUGAUAAAUGCAAGUCCCUGUCCGGUGGGAAGCAGUACUCCCAGUAAUAUAGCCGCCCGUGUGAUGAGCAUCAGUGUGGGCGGGGUGAGUCCGUUUGAGGCCAUGACUCCUCCGCCGCGACAGAAUGCGUUCCGAAAGUUUGGAAGUGCCAGCAAGCCCAGCAAGAUUCCGCUUCCGGGCAGCAAGGCGGCGGCCUAUUUUUCGGGCAAACCGCCAACGGGAAGACCUUCGACGGCGGGUCGAUCUCCGCCAUCGGCGCACAACUCAAGUAGCACCUCGUAUGGCAGUAAAUCCUCUCUGAGCAGAAGUACUGGAAACUUGCAGAGCCUGCGAAGAGCAGACACAUCCGCCUCCAACCACUCAUUGAGUACGAACACGAGCCGGAGCUCUACUUCCUCUUCGAUUCCGCUGGCCACCACACCUUACUCAUCCGGCUCGACUGGCAACCGCAGCCAGCCGACAGCCGCAACGACUCCGUCCCCGCGUGUGCUACAGAACUCGCCGCUGCCCAAGCUGAAGCGGGAUACGAUCAGCUCCAGGGUGCGUCACCUGGACUCCCUGUCACGUGCCCAGCAGUCGCCGGAGGGCCUGAAGGGAACCACCACCAACUCCGCCUCCAUUACCGCUCAGCUGAGCUCGACGCUGCGCAAAGAUCUCCAGCUGAGUGGAAACGGGACCGGAGCUCCCUAUCAUCAGCACCACCAGAACCACCAGAACCACAGGCGCAGUGGUCACUCGCCGGCAUCCAACUCCUCCGGUAGCGGCGUGUCCAGGCGCUACAGUAGUGCCUCGACUGGGGGUUCCGGUGGUCGAGCCAUCGGCCGUGAUCAGGGUGAGGCCACCACGCCCACAUCCAGCUUUGGCGGCGACAGUGAUAGUGGCAAGAAACAAGCCACUUAUCCUAACAAACGCCAGGCUACACAGAGAAAAUAAGCAUCGGAGUUGGUAUGGAUAGCAAAGUUACCCAUAUUCGUGGACUAAAGGUGGUGUACUGAUUGACUGAUUGAUUGACGUGUUGGUGGUGAAUACAUAGAUUUCGAAUGCAUGCCAAAAAAAAAGAAGAAACUUAAAACUGAAAUGCUAAACAUGUAAAGCGAGUGCGACUGGAGUUUUUGGUAUCGGACAGCCACAGAUAAGACCGGUGGCCAAACGAAAAGGAGCAGCGCCCUCGCCCAGUACAUCCUCCUCAGCUCAGAUCAGCUCAGCCCCAAAUCCAGCUCAGAUCUCAAUCUCGAGCCCUCUGUUGUAAAUCGUUUGUCUGUUUUGUUUUUGGCCAAGAAGCAAAGACAAUGAAGUAGACACUUUGCCGCCAAUCGUUAUACGCAAUUUGGCCAACACCGUUGAAAAGCCAAAUUUCCGUCUCAAUAACCACAAUUGGCAACUAUGGCAAACGAGCAGCAGCAGCCAGGGAAA
rnacentral:misc_RNA from 1 species